AUUGUCCUGGAACAAGCCACCCUCAAAACGCUGCAGUCCUUGUAUUUCUCUGUAAUUUUAUUUGCCUACAUUUAGGGAAGGUGGAAGGUAAUGACACCGGAUAGGAAAAAUAAAAGAGCACUCGGCAGUCUACUCUUUCCCCACAAAAUGUUUUAGAAGUGUCAGCAUGUGGCGAUGUCCCGUGCCACGGAGAAUGGCCCCUCAGACAAAAAUGUAAAUUCUAACAGGAGAAACUGAGUUUAUACAUCUAGAUUGGCUGUUCUCAUUGUUUGUUGUUCUGCCUCCUUCCCUUUGUUGGGGAGAGUUUUCAAUUAGUGUGGUGGGUUUUUUGUUUGUGUUUUUAAUUAAAAAAAAUUUUUUUUUAAAUUUUUGGUUAUUCCCUCCCUCCAACAUUCUUUAACAGGUACCCUUAUUAUUUUAACAAAAGUAUUCAUUUGGUCAUUUAAGAAACCCCAACUCGAAUUAUGUGAACAAUGUAUACAAUAAAAUACACUAUCAAUAUUUCAUUCUUGUAUAAUAGGAAAUACGUAUGGUUCUACAUAGAAGGAUCAAUUCAAAUAUUAAAUGUUGUAAAAUAGGCACUUUCACAAAGAUUUCCACCAUAUAUAUUUUUCAGUAAAUGGCUGGAUUAGCAGAACAUUAUUUAAGCUGUAUAUACUGUAAUUUCAAUUUCUUAACAUUAUCACACUUACUCAAACCGUUCAAAUAAGAUUAUGACAUGAAAUCAGAGUUUUCCAAAAAACUGCAGAAGAGCUUAUAAGGUGAAAAAAUAUCUAUUUUUUUGUCUCGUAUCCUAAAUUAGGUUGUAUUAUACAGUCUUUUUGGACAAGAGGUGAGCCUUGACCUUUUGUUCUUUUUCUUUUAUGUGGUCAUAAAGGAACAAACAUCUGUGUUGCAACUGGACCUGAAGCUGCCACCGUCAGCCAAGGAUCCAGAAGCUGCAGUGGGGGGACAUCUUCAUCAUCUUCACUGCCGAUUGGGGUGACGCCACCUUGGAAGAAAGAGAAGUGGAGAGUUUUUUUCCGAAUAGGAGGCCAAUGGAGUUCCCCUGCCAAUGGAGUUAGCAAGCUGUAAAACACGUGGUACCAUCACCUGCCCGAAGAGAUGAUGAGUUUGUCAUUCAGGAAUUAAACCACGAGUGCGUGUUGAGGGUAUACUCAAUCCCAGCACGGUGCAAAGUAUCAGGAAGAAACACAGAAGACUCAAAGCAGUCCACAUACCCUGCAAAAGCUCUCAACUUUGCAGUCAGAGAAAGACAAAUGUCAUAAGAUUUCACUCGUGUGGAAUCUAAGAAACAAAACAGAUGAAUACAGAGGAAGGGAAGGAAAAAUAAGGAAGAAAUAAAUAAAUAAGAAAAAUAAGAUAAAAACA
rnacentral:lncRNA from 1 species